GAUGAACGCUGGCAGAAUGCUUAACACAUCAGCAAUUGAUUGGUGGCGGACGGGUGAGUAACGCGUAAAGAACUUGCCUCACAGGUAGGACCUACAUUUGGAAAUGAAUGCUAAUAUCUAAUCCUGUGAGUGCGCUUUGAGUCCCAUGAGCUAGUUGGAGAGGUAACGGCUCACCAAGGCGAUGAUGGGUAGCCGGACUGAGAGGGUGAUCGGGCACAAAGGGACUCGGGCACGGGCCUUACUCCUACGGGAAGCAGCAGUGGAGAAUAGUGGACGCUAUGCCACAGUCUGAUGCAGGCAUUCGGUGUGCACGAUAAAGUUGUCGGAAGGAAGAGUGCAUGCAGUUUAGAAGCGGUACCAACAGAAGAAGUGACGGCUAACUACGUGCCAGCAGCCGCGGUAAUUC
rnacentral:rRNA from 1 species